rnacentral:lncRNA from 1 species
AGUGACACACACAGCCAGGUAUACAAAAUAUUCUACAAUGACAUGUGGGCCCCCAAAAUAACCAAAAUAAACACGACUGUAAACUUGCGAUUUCGAAGGGUGCGAAUCCAACAGCAAACCCUCGACAAAAUCGACGGUCUAUAGACUGCCUUGAGCCUGAAAUGUGUGAAAGAAGGGUGGUGAGUUUUUAUAAACCCAGUGAGUAAGCAAAGUUCAUCUAUAACAUCUAAAGCCAAGUAAAUGGAGACAAUUAAAACAUCUCUUCAUAAUAUGAUUCAUAACAUUAAAACUCAUUUCAACCUUAUAAAAUAAUUUACAUUUCAUCAAAAAUAAUCAGCAAGGCUUAUGACUUUCUUAAAACUUGGCUCGUGCCAAACUUAUACUCGGUGACACAUUGGCUUGGGGCAUCCAACCGAGUCCGCCAAGGAUGUUAAAACGACAUAUACCUAUAAAACACGUUUUUACUUUUAAAAACAUAGCCGUUCCUUGACGUUGGCUGAGUUUCACUCUCACGUGGUGGUUCGGCAUGAAGUGAACUCUAAUGUUACCUUAGGAGAUACCCUUCGCGCCUCUCGUACCAAGGUAAAAUAUAACGGAGUUUACCGUGCCCCUCUCGUAGGCUAAUCCACGGAAACUCGCCCACCGCAGUAAGCUAAUCAAUUACCCCACUAAAUCAAUAAAAAUCUCGGCAGCAUGACAUGGCUAAUAUGAUAUUACCUAGCCUAUCAAGGCCAAACAAAACAGUUCAUAUUUCACACAAACACAAAUCCAGCCAUUCAUGGCAUCACAGUGUCAUAAGCCAUCAAUUCAAACCAUCUAUCAAACAUAAGUAUAUAGUCUCCACUUACUCAAUUUCCAAAACCAGUAUUCAAUUGCAAACCAAAUUAUGAAUCUCAUUUCAUUUAACCAACACUUUCCACUUUUAAAACAUAAUAAUUUACCAUUUAAAACUCAUCAUUCUUUAAAAUCAUAAAAACGAGUAUAAACUACUUUAGAUAGUUAAGAUGAUCGUCUGAUUACUCACUUUAAUGGGAGUUUGGAGUACUUCUAUUAUUGAUCCUCGGAUACGAUAUCUUUACCCUUAUCAGAAGGCUCACCACCUAUACAUAAUAUACGACAUGUAAUUCAAUAUAUUUGUACCAAACUGUUAUAAAACUAUUUCAGGCUCUAUAUGAAUGCAUGAAAUUGAAUGAGAAAUGUUCGGAUAGUCACUUAAAGACGGUGUUCGAAGUAGGUUCAAUUGUGAUCGGAAUGAAUUUGUAUUCGACCUAAUUCGAACUAUACACCAUUGAUUUAACCAAAACAUUCGAUUCAACUUCAAAUAUAUUCAUUACACUUCCAAUAUUCCAUAUACACCAAAGUACCUCAGUAAGCUUAAUUGUAACUUAAUUCAUUGUAACCGAAAUCAUUCCGAUUUCGGACUAACUUGCUAAUUAGUGUCAACACAGUCCAAUAAAUCCAUUUAUAUCAUUAAGAAUAAAUUCCAAGUCCAUUUACUAUGAUUUUCUCAUUAUUGUUCAAAUCGUUUACUAAAAGAACCAUACGUCUCCAUAACCAUUUUCAAUAUCUGGCACCAUAAUUCAUCAAAUACGAGCUAAAUCACAUGAGAUAUAACAAGAUCCAUCAUCAAUAUGUCCUUUAGUAAAUUUGGCCAAGGAGGAUUGUUGAAGAGUAUGUGAUUUUUUUGCUUGCUUUUCAUGCCAAACAUCAUCAAACAACUAAAAACACUAAAAUAUCAUGAAAUCUAGCCAAAUUCAUCACCAAAACUUCUCUUUCUAGAUUUGGCCAGCAAAGGUUCCCUCUUGAAAACUUGAAUUUCAGCCAUGAAAAAUGACAAAGAAUGCAUGGGAAAGGUAGAUCACAAGCUAAAAUUAAAAAAUCUUACCUUUACUUGUUUAAUUCCUUGAAAUCCAAUAAUUUCUCUUGAAUUUUUCCUUUCUAGGGUGUGUUCUUCUCUUUUUCUCUUUGUUCCCUUGCUUG